UCAAUAAGCGGAGGAAAAGAAACUAACAAGGAUUCCCCUAGUAACGGCGAGUGAAGCGGGAAAAGCUCAAAUUUGUAAUCUGGCGCCUUCGGCGUCCGAGUUGUAAUCUCGAGAAGUAUUUUCCGCGCUGGACCGCACAUAAGUCUGUUGGAAUACAGCGUCAUAGUGGUGAGAACCCCGUAUAUGGUGCGGAUGCCCAGUGCUUUGUGAUAUACUUUCGAAGAGUCGAGUUGUUUGGGAAUGCAGCUCAAAUUGGGUGGUAAAUUCCAUCUAAAGCUAAAUAUUGGCGAGAGACCGAUAGCGAACAAGUACCGUGAGGGAAAGAUGAAAAGCACUUUGGAAAGAGAGUUAACAGUACGUGAAAUUGUUGGAAGGGAAACGCUUGAAGUCAGACUUGCAUUUUGGAGUUCAGCCGCAAGGUGUAUUCUUCAAUUCGCAGGCCAGCAUCAGUUUUCGGGGGUGGAAAAUCGCGGUUUGAAGGUAGCAGUUUCGGCUGUGUUAUAGCUUUCCGCUGGAUUCACUUUUGGGGACUGAGGAACGCAGUACGCUUUUUGCAAGAUUCUAGAGUCUUUCGUACUUAGGAUGCUGGUGGAAUGGCUUUAAACGACCGUCUUGAAACACA
rnacentral:rRNA from 1 species